GUUUGAAAAUAAUAAAAUGACGAAAGAUGUGCCACAAAGAAAAACUUUUGAGCACAACAGAAAAUUGAUUUUUGUUAGGUACCCCAGACAGACGGAAAGACAGAUGGAUAGAUGGAUGAAUGGAUGGAUCUGUGGAUGGUUCUUCGUCGGAGAAAUGAAACUGGGGUUCUGGGCGUCUCUUUCUCUCUGCUAUGGAGAUGGAAGAGGGCCCGAGAGUAUGCAGAGAGUCCGCUGAGUGAUGUGCGCAUGGAUAAUGAAGCAAUGACGGCAUGAAUGACUGAAUGAGGC
rnacentral:lncRNA from 1 species